GCGGGGACCCGCACAAACGGUGGAUUAUGUGGAUUAAUUCGAUGCAACGCGAAAAACCUUAGUUACCCUUGACAUGUCUGGAAUCCUGAAGAGAUUUAGGAGUGCUUGCAAGAGAACCGGAACACAGGUGCUGCAUGGCUGUCGUCAGCUCGUGUCGUGAGAUGUUGGGUUAAGUCCCGCAACGAGCGCAACCCUUGUCAUUAGUUGCUACGAAAGGGCACUCUAAUGAGACUGCCGGUGACAAACCGGAGGAAGGUGGGGAUGACGUCAAGUCCUCAUGGCCCUUAUGGGUAGGGCUUCACACGUCAUACAAUGGUCGGGACAGAGGGUCGCCAACCCGCGAGGGGGAGCCAAUCCCAGAAACCCGAUCGUAGUCCGGAUUGCAGUCUGCAACUUGACUGCGUGAAGUCGGAAUCGCUAGUAAUCGCGGAUCAGCAUGUCGCGGUGAAUACGUUCCCGGGUCUUGUACACACCGCCCGUCAGCACCAUGGGAGUGGGUUUUACCAGAAGGUCAGUUGAUGCCUAACCGCAAGGGGCGCGAUACCACGGUAGAUACUUCGU
rnacentral:rRNA from 1 species